AUUACUCUUUUUUAAGUGUUACGAGCUGGAUCCGCGGCUGUACUAAACAAAAAAAAAACAAAUCCUUCGCCAAGGAGACGAACAGCGACGUGUUCUUUCGUUCAGCAACACUCGUGCCCAAGUGCAUGCACCAACACGCGGCGACCGGCGACGGCGAGGAAGCCAUACUUCUUCAGGCCUCAGGUCUUCUUCCGCUGCGUUCUUUAACCGAGCACCGGGCUGGUUGCGCACGGCCGGCCAAUCAAUCAUGGAAACCGGCCGGAGGGAAAGGGAAAAACAAGAGGGCAACUUGCAGCGCGGGGGCAUGGGAUGAUGAGCGAGGCAGGAGGAGCCAGGGUGUCAACCUGUCCUGUUAGGCCCUGCAUCCGGGGUGAUGACUGAUGAGUGAGUAUAUCUAAUCCAGACGUGUUGUCACUUUCAGGGGAUAUAUUACAUAUCAUUAUGCCAGCAUUAAUUUGAAGCGUUUGCGUUCAUGAGUCAUUUUCCUCUUCUUUUUCUUGCUUUGAUUGAAACCGGAAUUGAUUCAUUCUGGAAUUUGGACCCCACGUUCACGUUGCUCUCAAAUGCUAGUCGAAGGAAGAUGCAGCCACCUGGCUCCUGCAGCAGAUCUUAUCAUAUUCAGCCGAGGGGUUCAGACUCUCCUCAACCAUUUUCAUCGUGAAGCAGGAUGGAGAGGAGACUGUCUGGGUCCUGCUGUCCUGCCUGUCAAAUGAAAAUGACUGAUAUUUAUCGUUGAUGAUGCUAAAUGCAAACCUAGUCCCAUUUCUUUCUUUCUUUCUUUCUUUUGCAAACGUUCACCAGUUGUCAUCUGCAGGUAAUCUUUAGGGUCCGAUGCUAAGAAAACCGAAAACCACGGGACAUGCAGUUAGAGUGCUUGACCCUGGCUGCUUGCCAAAGGACAUGCCAUGGCAACCGUCGUCCCUGUGUGAUCCCAUGCAUGAGCACAGGAACAAUGUUCACGUUUAGUUGUCGUGCAGUGCGUUUGACGAGGAAGCUAUUGCCUAUUGGGGCCGAUAUGGCGCCAUCAAUCUGCUGGCGAGAGGCAUCUACGGAAAAAAUUCCAGGUCAUGAUCCAUUCCGUCCCCUCUAUGUUCUUUCAGGUAGGAAAGCAAAAGGCCAUUUCAUUCCAUGAUCAAUCCACACUCAAGGCAAGAAAAGUAUAUUCGAUGUAGAUACCUCGCAAAAGGAGCACUCACACGUACUCUAGUACAGAGCGUACUUGAUAGAACGUGUCAGCAAGUAUUUCAGGUCCCCAAAUAUUUUAUCUUCGCAGUUCGGAGGACAAAACAUCAGCACGCGGAUUUUUUUAGUUUUAACUUUUUUAAAUAAUAUUUUAAAAAUAACAUCUCCAGACAAAUAUUUCCAUCUCAUGAUCCUUUUGGUCACACCGCCCACGUGGCACGACAAAAUAACGUUGUCACGGCACAUGCCCUGGCGUGACAAGCCUACCACGCUAGCGCGACGAGAUGUCACGCCACUGCAUGUGGCGCGACAACGUGAUUCUGUCGCGCCACCUUACAUGGUAUGACGAAAGCCUACUCUAGUUUAAUUUACUCAUUUUUGACUAUCUAAAUAAAAUAGUAAUGGAAGUUUAAAUGUUACAAAACUUGCCUUGCCAUGCACGAUAUAUAAGGAGUGAACAUUCCAUUUUAGUAACAUGUACAAGGUCAAGUGCUACAUAUUUUGAAAAUUUAAAUUUCAAAGUAGGCUAUGUAUUAUCCCUAUAUCCCACUUAGGACUCUCGUUAAAUGAUUACUUACUUAGGAUCAUCUCAAUAAAAUAGCAUUUAAACUUUGAAUGUCACCAAACUUGACAUGCGCACUGUAGAAGGUGUAAAAGUCUCAUUUUACUAACAUGUAGAAAGCUAAGUGCUACGUAUUUUGAAAUAUAUAAUUUCAAAGUAAGCUAUGUAUUAUCCCUCUAUCUCUCUUAAGGUAGCUUCUAAGUGUUAAAUAAAUUCACUUCAAUGUUUUCUUUCCUUCAAUUUAAUAACUUAAUGACCUAUAUUCAAUUUUUAAUUAGCCUCUGGAUAUGACUAAGAUGUGACAUUCCUGCUAACAAAGAUGAUAUGAUCAUAUCUUUAAAUUUAUUCAAUUUCUAUAUAUGAUACCUGGCACAUACCUGUCACGUGAGGUGUUGUUUAGAUAUCAAGUAGCAAUUUUUUUUGAGGUGUUGUUUAGAUAUCAAGUAGCGAUUUUUUUUUUCAAGUUAAGCUACUUCAGCAGAAAUUUCAAUACCGAGAAGACGCACUGCUUGAUGAAGCUUAUGAAUACACCGAUCUACCAUCUCACUACAGAUCAUACACCCACACCUUAACUAAUUAAUUUAGUUUGGGAAUUUCAGUACAUAUCUUGUAGCUAUUGAAACUUAAAUGCCAUGAGAAAGUGAGAAUCAAUCUCUGGUUGUAUUGAUUGAUUUAAUGAACAAUAUUAUACAUAGGAAAGGGUGUUCCUAAAGGGCCGGUGUCCCUAUAAAAAAUUAUCACCUAAACAUGCAUGCUUGUUCAUAGAUGUGUCUAUCCACUAACAUGUGUCUAUUAAGGGAUACAAACUAAUUGAUCACUAAUAUAAACUUAGUUCUAACAUCCAUUCAUUUGUGCAUGCACACUAUAGCAUACUAUGAUGUUCUUCAAAGAAUACAUGGUUUCUAACUCAUUCAUGUUUAAUUCACUUGCAUAUCAUGUACUUCAUGUUCUUGCAAUAUAUAUCGUGUGAUCGAGAGGCUUCUUGACUUAAUCGAACUAUGUUGCAUAGAUGUUUUUAGCUAUUAUUAGACUAAUCCCAAUUUAUAGUAUCAUGUUAUGAUUUCAAAUUUCAAAGACUACAUAUCAUAUGAAGAGAUAAUAAUACAACAAUCUACAAUGUAGUAUUAUAGUGUUAUUUCUUAUACAUCUAAAAUUAUGGAUUGCUAACAAUUGUAUUUACAACUUAGUCAUAUCCAUUGGCCUAAUUCAAAAUUGAAUAAGAUCAAUUGUAUAUUGAUUGAUGUAAGCUCGUGUGUUCUUGAUGUUUCUACUCCUAGCUAGAAAACAUGAGGUUUGUCUUGUUCUACCAGUGAAACAGAGAAUAGUAUGAGUGUGAAUAUAGUUAAAAUGAAAUAAAUAUAUCUUAUGAUGUAGUUUUAUUCGAGUUUUAAAAUAUUUAGACUUCAUUAAGUUAUUAAAUUGAAGGAAAGAAAAAGUUGAAGUAAAUUUAUUUAGCACUUAGAAGCAGUCUUAAGAUAGAUAGAGGGAUAAUACAUGGCUUACUUUGAAAUUAUGUAUUUCAAAAUAUGUAGCACUUGAGUUUCUACAUGUUAGUAAAAUGGGACCUUUACACCUUCUACAGUGCUCAUGCCAAGUUUUUUAACAUUCAAAGUUUAAAUGCUAUUUUAUUGAGAUGCUCCAAGUAGGUAUAGGGAUAAUACAUAGUCUCCUUUGAAAUUAAAAUUUUCAAACCAUGUAGCACUUGCCUUGUAUAUGUUACUAAAAAUAGAAUGUUCACACCUUAUAUAUCGUGCUAAUAUUUAAAGUUCAAAUACUAUUAUUUAAAGUUUAAAUACUAUUUUAUUUAGAUUGUCAAAAGUGAAAUUAAAUUAGAAUGAUCUCUCAUCACACCAUGCAAAGUGGCACGACAGAAUGACAUCACGCCACAUGCAUUGGUGUGAUAAGAGGGGUCCAUGUCAACUCGCCGUGCUAGCGUAGCAGGCUUGUCACGACAGUGCAUGUGGCGUGACAACGUUAUUUUGUCGCGCCACGUGGGCCGGCGCGACCAAAAGGGUCACGAGAUGAAAAUAUUUAUCCGGAGGGGUUAUUUUUUAAAUAUUGUUUAAAGAAGGGUUAAAAUUAAAAAAAAAUCUCAGCACGCAAACGCCUGGCCGUACGAGUACUGCAUGGCCAAAGGCAUAGAAGAAAGUGACGGCAGACUAAAUUCUAUUGCAAAAGAUUUUAGGUAAAGCCACCGAACAAUCUUGCAAGCUUUUGCAAUAAAAAAAACAAUCUUGCAAGGUUCAGUGGAACUGUGGAAGCAGCAGAUGCAGCCGCAUGGCAGAACAGCGAGCUAGUGCAGGGUGCUGCGCUGGGCAUGCAUGGUGACCACAUGAAAACCAGAAAUCUUAUCACAAGCUGCAUGACAGGGAGGAAAACACACAUACCAUGUUUCCCAAUCAUGUACUGUUGAGUCUAUCACCAUUCACUCGUAUAGAUAUAGAGGUAUAUCUCUCAUGUCCUAUUCUCCUAAACAGGAAGCAUUCAGCCAGGCAAAAACUUGUUCUUCAGUCAGGGGUUAAAGUCCAAGCAAGGAAAGACCAAAGCAUACCAAACAGUAUGCUUAUCCACAGCAUAGACUGCAGCCAAAAAAGUAGCCAUAACUACCGCCAAUAAGCGCUGCACGAUGCGACGCCCCGGCUUAUCAAAAUGCCUGACCCAUGCAGCUGCGCCGGUUUCUUUUUUCAGGGGGAUCCCAGCUCCGCGAAGGCGAGAAGCGUCCCCUGGGCGCUGGAGAGGCCACUUCGCCAGCUUAUCGCGACGAUAACGAUGAGAGGCAGAUAAGAGAGGGCCACAGCCCACAGGAUACCAGCUCGCGGGCGGCGUUAGGGUGCCACUUCGCCAAUCGCUUUCGAAUUCCCAUCUCCUGUAAUAGUCAAUAAGGAUCCGAUUAGAAAAGGAUUAUUAAUACAUUAUUAUCCUCCGGGAACUAGAUUUAUCAUUAGUAUUUGAUAAUCGUUAUUAGCUUGACAGAGCGAGAGAGAAACAAGAAAGCAAAGAUGCAGGUACCUGUUUCUUGGCGAAG
rnacentral:lncRNA from 1 species